rnacentral:tRNA from 1 species
GGACGGGUAGACUGAGUGGCCAGUCACCAGCUGUGUUCCCUUAUCUGCUCACUUAUCCUCAACGGGUCGAAGGAUAGAGGGUUACCGUUCCAAGCUGGAAAGGCAAGGUUCGAUUCCUGCCCUGUCCG